UCUCUGCAUAUCUACAAUAAGUUCAAUCCUUGACAAUUGGCGGCAGAGCCAUCAACUGACUGGGAUAAUUAAGAAAUUUCUAAUUGUGUGACUUUAAAAAAUGUGCAGCUGAUUUACAAGGUUUUAUCUCACAGAAUGCUUACCUGAACAUUGUGGAAGUAUGGUUUAGAACAAAGGCCUCUGAAGUAAAUGGCUUUUCUAAAUAGCACACGUGAUUUAGCGUCCACCAAUAAAAUGUCAAUUUGGACUUGGAGUUGAGAAAUGACAGUAGGGAGCCAAGUGUGGGAGAUGUGACCAGUUUCUCCGGAAUAUCUCUGCAACUCUCUAGAAACUUGACAUUAAGCUAUUUGAAGUCAUUCACUUUGUAGAAAAGAAAGGAUAUUAAACUAUAAUGAAGACUGAAGACUAUGGAUACUACGGAAGCCAUCCUUGUGAACACACUGGCUUUAUCUUGCCUUUCUUAUCAUUUAUUUGCUCCAGAGUUGCUUUGUCUUACUUUCCAACUUUACCCACCAGCAAACGAAACUUCAUUGGAAAAGUGGGAAGAUAGUAUGGGCAACAAACAUUCAAAAAAGAAGUCCUAAAAAUUCAUUAGUAACCAAAGGAAUACAGAUGAAAAUGACUCUGUGAUAAGAAAUGAUAUUAAACAGUGUGUCAAGUGUUGGAAGGGAUGUGUUGCUAUAAAAUUUAUGCACCGCUGGGCAUAAUGGAGACACCUUCACCCAUCACAGAAACCAAUCUGGCAGAUCUAAAGAGCAACUUGUGAGAGGACACUUCUCUUAGCAAAUUUGUGAGUGAAGUGUUGAAGUCUGUUAGGUGCUUAUCACUGGUAAGUAGG